rnacentral:rRNA from 1 species
GCCUGAAUCAGUGUGUGUGUUAGUGGAAGCGUCUGGAAAGGCGCGCGAUACAGGGUGACAGCCCCGUACACAAAAAUGCACAUGCUGUGAGCUCGAUGAGUAGGGCGGGACACGUGGUAUCCUGUCUGAAUAUGGGGGGACCAUCCUCCAAGGCUAAAUACUCCUGACUGACCGAUAGUGAACCAGUACCGUGAGGGAAAGGCGAAAAGAACCCCGGCGAGGGGAGUGAAAAAGAACCUGAAACCGUGUACGUACAAGCAGUGGGAGCACGCUUAGGCGUGUGACUGCGUACCUUUUGUAUAAUGGGUCAGCGACUUAUAUUCUGUAGCAAGGUUAACCGAAUAGGGGAGCCGAAGGGAAACCGAGUCUUAAUUGGGCGUUAAGUUGCAGGGUAUAGACCCGAAACCCGGUGAUCUAGCCAUGGGCAGGUUGAAGGUUGGGUAACACUAACUGGAGGACCGAACCGACUAAUGUUGAAAAAUUAGCGGAUGACUUGUGGCUGGGGGUGAAAGGCCAAUCAAACCGGGAGAUAGCUGGUUCUCCCCGAAAGCUAUUUAGGUAGCGCCUCGUGAACUCAUCUCCGGGGGUAGAGCACUGUUUCGGCAAGGGGGUCAUCCCGACUUACCAACCCGAUGCAAACUGCGAAUACCGGAGAAUGUUAUCACGGGAGACACACGGCGGGUGCUAACGUCCGUCGUGAAGAGGGAAACAACCCAGACCGCCAGCUAAGGUCCCAAAGUCAUGGUUAAGUGGGAAACGAUGUGGGAAGGCCCAGACAGCCAGGAUGUUGGCUUAGAAGCAGCCAUCAUUUAAAGAAAGCGUAAUAGCUCACUGGUCGAGUCGGCCUGCGCGGAAGAUGUAACGGGGCUAAACCAUGCACCGAAGCUGCGGCAGCGACGCUUAUGCGUUGUUGGGUAGGGGAGCGUUCUGUAAGCCUGUGAAGGUGUACUGUGAGGUAUGCUGGAGGUAUCAGAAGUGCGAAUGCUGACAUAAGUAACGAUAAAGCGGGUGAAAAGCCCGCUCGCCGGAAGACCAAGGGUUCCUGUCCAACGUUAAUCGGGGCAGGGUGAGUCGACCCCUAAGGCGAGGCCGAAAGGCGUAGUCGAUGGGAAACAGGUUAAUAUUCCUGUACUUGGUGUUACUGCGAAGGGGGGACGGAGAAGGCUAUGUUGGCCGGGCGACGGUUGUCCCGGUUUAAGCGUGUAGGCUGGUUUUCCAGGCAAAUCCGGAAAAUCAAGGCUGAGGCGUGAUGACGAGGCACUACGGUGCUGAAGCAACAAAUGCCCUGCUUCCAGGAAAAGCCUCUAAGCAUCAGGUAACAUCAAAUCGUACCCCAAACCGACACAGGUGGUCAGGUAGAGAAUACCAAGGCGCUUGAGAGAACUCGGGUGAAGGAACUAGGCAAAAUGGUGCCGUAACUUCGGGAGAAGGCACGCUGAUAUGUAGGUGAAGUCCCUCGCGGAUGGAGCUGAAAUCAGUCGAAGAUACCAGCUGGCUGCAACUGUUUAUUAAAAACACAGCACUGUGCAAACACGAAAGUGGACGUAUACGGUGUGACGCCUGCCCGGUGCCGGAAGGUUAAUUGAUGGGGUCAGCGCAAGCGAAGCUCUUGAUCGAAGCCCCGGUAAACGGCGGCCGUAACUAUAACGGUCCUAAGGUAGCGAAAUUCCUUGUCGGGUAAGUUCCGACCUGCACGAAUGGCGUAAUGAUGGCCAGGCUGUCUCCACCCGAGACUCAGUGAAAUUGAACUCGCUGUGAAGAUGCAGUGUACCCGCGGCAAGACGGAAAGACCCCGUGAACCUUUACUAUAGCUUGACACUGAACAUUGAGCCUUGAUGUGUAGGAUAGGUGGGAGGCUUUGAAGUGUGGACGCCAGUCUGCAUGGAGCCGACCUUGAAAUACCACCCUUUAAUGUUUGAUGUUCUAACGUUGACCCGUAAUCCGGGUUGCGGACAGUGUCUGGUGGGUAGUUUGACUGGGGCGGUCUCCUCCUAAAGAGUAACGGAGGAGCACGAAGGUUGGCUAAUCCUGGUCGGACAUCAGGAGGUUAGUGCAAUGGCAUAAGCCAGCUUGACUGCGAGCGUGACGGCGCGAGCAGGUGCGAAAGCAGGUCAUAGUGAUCCGGUGGUUCUGAAUGGAAGGGCCAUCGCUCAACGGAUAAAAGGUACUCCGGGGAUAACAGGCUGAUACCGCCCAAGAGUUCAUAUCGACGGCGGUGUUUGGCACCUCGAUGUCGGCUCAUCACAUCCUGGGGCUGAAGUAGGUCCCAAGGGUAUGGCUGUUCGCCAUUUAAAGUGGUACGCGAGCUGGGUUUAGAACGUCGUGAGACAGUUCGGUCCCUAUCUGCCGUGGGCGCUGGAGAACUGAGGGGGGCUGCUCCUAGUACGAGAGGACCGGAGUGGACGCAUCACUGGUGUUCGGGUUGUCAUGCCAAUGGCACUGCCCGGUAGCUAAAUGCGGAAGAGAUAAGUGCUGAAAGCAUCUAAGCACGAAACUUGCCCCGAGA